CCUACGGGGGGCAGCAGUGAGGAAUAUUGGUCAAUGGACGGAAGUCUGAACCAGCCAUGCCGCGUGCAGGAAGACGGCUCUAUGAGUUGUAAACUGCUUUUGUACAAGGGUAAACCUGAAUACGUGUAUUCAGCUGAAAGUACUGUACGAAUAAGGAUCGGCUAACUCCGUGCCAGCCGCCGCGGUAAUACGGGGGAUCCAAGCGUUAUCCGGAUUUAUUGGGUUUAAAGGGUGCGUAGGCGGAUUGAUAAGUUAGAGGUGAAAUUUCCGGGCUUAACUCGGGAACGGCCUUUAAUACUGUUGAUCUAGAGAGUAGAUGCGGUAGGCGGAAUGUAUGGUGUAGCGGUGAAAUGCUUAGAGAUCAUAUAGAACACCGAUUGCGAAGGCAGCUUACCAAUCUAUAUCUGACGUUGAGGCACGAAAGCGUGGGGAGCAAACAGGAUUAGAUACCCGAGUAGUC
rnacentral:rRNA from 1 species